UGACAGCUGAGUGAUUGACAGGAAAUGAUACAAUUUAUAAAAGUUGUAGCAACAAAACAAACGCUAUAUCCUCUGUUUUCAAGUGUUUUCUUCGAUAUCCCAUUAAUAUCGUAAUUUAUUUGCACCAGUAUCGCCAUUCCGAUAAGGACAGCAGUAUCCCGUGAGGCAACAACAACAGUUCCAAAAUGCUUACAUAAUUACUUUGUAUUGUAACUGCAACGAGAGUAAUCAGUGUUAGACGCAUUAUCAGUUUCCACUGUGAAAAUAUUUCACUUAUUAUUAGUACUUAAGCAGAAAUAUUCAAAAUGCAAGACGAGGAUCGCAAGGCGAUACAAAACAAUUUUAUAUCUCUCGUGGAACAAACAGAUCUGGAUGUAAUGGUCUCAUCCCUGUACGAAAAAGGAGUUUUCUCUGAGCGGAUGAUUGAACCGUAUAAGGAUGUAAGCAAAGAUGCUAAGUAUCGUAAGCGGCAGUUGUAUUUGGACGUUACACGACGCGGACCCCAGGCUUUUGGUCAUUUGUUAGACGCACUAUCAGAAAACGGGUAUUGGGACAUAGUGCGGGACCUCGACCCCAACAGCUCUCUUCAUGCACGUCGACAAAGAAACCCCGUGCCGAGCACAAGUGUCGGGUCGAAUGAAAAGAAUUACGUCAGCUUGUGCACUGAGAAACUAAAGACCAAGAAUGCAACCGACGUCAAUAAAAACCCCGCGCCGCAAGCGCCCCGCGCGCCCGCCGCCCCCGCGCGCCUGCCGGACCCCACCACCAUACCUCACUUCCACGUUGUCAAAUCUACUACGUUUUUUGAAAAUAAUGACAGUGACAUCCCGCUGUACCGCACGCGUGGGCGUCGGCGCGGGUUCCUCGUGGUGUUCAGCUACGUGGAGUUCAACAACCUGGAGCCUUACCGGAACGGCGUCGACGUCGACUGCAAGAACCUGAAGUACCUCUUCGACGAGAUCGGCUUCAAGGUCAUCUCCUACCAGGACCUCACUAAAUCGCAAACCCUGGAGACGCUGAAGGGUCUGAAGGAGGUGGUGGUGGGGGCGGAGUGCGUUUUCAUCGUGGUGUCGUCGCACGGGUACGAGCGUCCGCGCAGCUCCGACAACGACAUCCGCUGCAAGGACGGCGGCCUCAUCGCCAUCAGGGACAUCAUAGACUACUUCAACAACAAGAACUUCCCCGCUCUACAGGGAGUGCCCAAGGUCUUCAUCUUCCAGCUGUGUCGCGGCAACAAUGAGGAGUCCGUGUGGCGCCCGGGCGCCGAGACGGACGGCGCCAGUCGCGGCGCCAGUCGCGGCGCCCCGCCGGCGCCCGCGCCGCCGCUGCUGGCGCCGCCCGACGCGCCCGCGCCGCGCGACCGCGUGUACUCCGACAUACUCAUCGCGCACUCCACGGUGCCGGGUAACGUGGCGUACCGCGACAACGCGGCGGGCUCGUGGUACAUCCAGGCGCUGUGCGAGGUGUUCGCGGCGCGCGCGCACGACUGCCACGUCGAGAAGCUGUUCACGCUGGUGGACAAGCGCCUGCACGCCGCCUUCCUCGUGCAGACCUCGUCGGUCGACCGCUGGGGCUUCAACUGCCGGCUCUACCUGCACCCCGGCCUCUACGAGUCGCAGUGACCUCGGGAGUUCCUGCCGGUGCGUGGCGGGACGUCGUGAUCGGAUUUCAACUUGAAUGUGCAGCCUACAAACUAUAAAUAAUGUAAAUACUGAUUUACUGCCAUCCCUAAGUGAGUGCCACCGCCUGAGGUGUCACUGCGGGCGACGCGGACAGAAGGGGGAGGGGGGGGGGGUAACUGUGCUCUCCUGUAUACUGCAAAAUUUCGUUGCUCAAAAAGCGCGCUCAAGUUGAUCACUAGCAUACUAUGUAGUACUAUGAAGUGUCAUUCGCAAGCUUUAAUUUUUUAUCUAUUUGAAUUCUUGAUGAUUAUUUGGUGUCUUUAAUGACUGUGAUUAUGUGUAAUUAAUAGAGUCGACAGAAAAUGGAUUUAUAACAAUGGAAAUGAAAACAAUUAUCUCUAGUAUAGAACUGGAUCAUUUAAUUUGUAAGGACUAAGAGCGGCAACCACAUCAGUGCAGCCAUUUUUUUUUGGUGGAACCUACAUUCCAAACGUUUUGGCGUAAUUAUUGUAUGUAACUUGUAAUAUGAAUUAUUUUUUUAAACUUGAAGAUUGUAUAAAUAUUGAAACGUUUCAAAGAUAUACUCUUACUGGGCUUUUUAAUUUAACUGUACGAGAUACGUAAGUUGGCAACAACACAAGUACUGUCGAGUUCUUGUUCGUAUCAACACUGAAUAUAUCGAACUGAUGUGCCUGUAUAAUAAUGUGUACUCUUUGGGUGUAUUUUGAAUAUAUAUUUUUUAACUAUUUAUAAAAUAUAGGAUAAUAAAAAGUGAUACCAUUUUAAAGUGAUGUUUCUUUAAUAACUUUACAUCAAUUAUACACCGAAUACAAAAAUAUAUACAGUUUUUUUUUUUUGUUCUUUUUUGUUACAUCAAUAGAUCAGUUGUAAGGUUUUACAUACUAAAUUCCAAAUGUAAAAACUAUGUCUGGUUUUGUAAUUUUUAACUAUAUUCUAGUUAAUGUUCUGAAAAAGUGUAUAACAUUAAUGAUUACCUCGUAACUAUAGCUGAUGUAACAACAUUGCUUUUUUUAUUGAGCUUUUUAAUAAAUAACAUUUUUAUUUAGAAAUAUCGCCGCAUCGUCGCUGAUAUGAAACACUCCUCCGUAUUGUAUAAAACUUAUCGAUCGGACAUGGAAGCUACAAAUACACUCAGCUUACUCAGAUUGAGCCAUUGGCUAACACACCGCGCCUCGCUGAACUUAGCGUCAGUAUUGCAUCGCCCUGAACUUGUAUACGAUUUAUCGUAGUCCAUUU